rnacentral:rRNA from 1 species
GAUGAACGCUGACAGAAUGCUUAACACAUGCCAGUCUUUGGCGAAGCUGUGCUUGCACAGCCUAGCCAAGGCGGACGGGUGAGUAACGCGUAAGGAACUUGCCCUGCAGUCAGGGAUAACAGACGGAAACGACUGAUAAGACCUGGUAAAGUCAGGCGGACUCAUGUCCAGCCUGAUGAAAAGAGAUGCUGCAGGAGAGCCUUGCGUCCUAUUAGCUUGUUGGUGGGGUAACGGCCCACCAAGGCGAUGAUAGGUAGCCGGCCUGAGAGGGUGGACGGCCACAAGGGGACUGAGAUACGGCCCUUACUCCUACGGGAGGCAGCAGUGGGGAAUAUUGGACAAUGGGGGCAACCCUGAUCCAGCAAUUCUGUGUGCACGAUGAAGGUUUUCGGAUUGAAAGUGCUUUCAGCAGGGAAGAAAAAAAUGACGGUACCUGCAGAAGAAGCGACGGCUAAAUACGUG